CCUACGGGUGUCAGCAGUAGGGAAUAUUGCUCACUGGAGGAAACCCUGAAGCAGCAACGCCGCGUGGAGGAUGAAGGUUUUAGGAUUGUAAACUCCUUUUGUGAGAGAAGAUAAUGACGGUAUCUCCCUACUACUCCCCGGCUAACUCCGUUCCAGCCGCCGCGGUACUACGGCGGGUGCAAGCGUUACUCGGAAUCACUGGGCGGAAAGAGUGCGCAGGCGGGCUUGUAAGUCAGAUGUGAAAUCCUGUAGCUUAACUACAGAACUGCAUUUGAAACUAUGAGUCUAGAGUGUGGGAGAGGUAGGUGGAAUGCUUGGUGUAGGGGUAAAAUCCGUAGAUAUCAAGAGGAAUACUCAUUGCGAAGGCGACCUACUGGAACAUGACUGACGCUCAUGCACGAAAGCGUGGGGAGCAAACAGGAUUAGAUACCCCAGUAGUC
rnacentral:rRNA from 1 species